rnacentral:rRNA from 1 species
UACGAAGGGGGCUAGCGUUGCUCGGAAUCACUGGGCGUAAAGGGCGCGUAGGCGGCGUUUUUAAGUCGGGGGUGAAAGCCUGUGGCUCAACCACAGAAUGGCCUUCGAUACUGGGACGCUUGAGUAUGGUAGAGGUUGGUGGAACUGCGAGUGUAGAGGUGAAAUUCGUAGAUAUUCGCAAGAACACCCGUGGCUAAGGCGGCUCUCUAGUACGGUACUGACGCUGAGACGCGAAAGCGUGGGGAGCGAACAGG